UACGUNCCAGCAGCCGCGGUAAUACGUANGUCCCGAGCGUUGUCCGGAUUUAUUGGGCGUAAAGGGAGCGCAGGCGGUCAGGAAANUCUGGAGUAAAAGGCUAUGGCUCAACCAUAGUGUGCUCUGGAAACUNUCUGACUUGAGUGCAGAAGGGGAGAGUGGAAUUCCAUGUGUAGCGGUGAAAUGCGUAGAUAUAUGGAGGAACACCAGUGGCGAAAGCGGCUCUCUGGUCUGUCACUGACGCUGAGGCUCGAAAGCGUGGGUAGCGAACAGGAUUAGAUACCCUGGUAGUCCACGCCGUAAACGAUGAGUGCUAGGUGUUAGGCCCUUUCCGGGGCUUAGUGCCGGAGCUAACGCAAUAAGCACUCCGCCUGGGGAGUACGACCGCAAGGUUGAAACUCAAAGGAAUUGACGGGGGCCCGCACAAGCGGUGGAGCAUGUGGUUUAAUUCGAAGCAACGCGAAGAACCUUACCAGGUCUUGACAUCCCGAUGCUAUUCUUAGAGAUAGGAAGUUACUUCGGUACAUCGGAGACAGGUGGUGCAUGGUUGUCGUCAGCUCGUGUCGUGAGAUGUUGGGUUAGGUCCCGCAACGAGCGCAACCCUUAUUGUUAGUUGCCAUCAUUAAGUUGGGCACUCUAGCGAGACUGCCGGUAAUAAACCGGAGGAAGGUGGGGAUGACGUCAAAUCAUCAUGCCCCUUAUGACCUGGGCUACACACGUGCUACAAUGGUCGGUACAACGAGUUGCGAGCCGGUGACGGCAAGCUAAUCUCUGAAAGCCGAUCUCAGUUCGGAUUGGAGGCUGCAACUCGCCUCCAUGAAGUCGGAAUCGCUAGUAAUCGCGGAUCAGCACGCCGCGGUGAAUACGUUCCCGGGCCUUGUACACACCGCCCGUCACACCACGAGAGUUUGUANCACCCGAAGUCGGUGAGGUANCCUUUUAGGG
rnacentral:rRNA from 1 species